GAUGAACGCUGGCGGCGUGCCUAAUACAUGCAAGUCGAGCGAACGGACGAGAAGCUUGCUUCUCUGAUGUUAGCGGCGGACGGGUGAGUAACACGUGGAUAACCUACCUAUAAGACUGGGAUAACUUCGGGAAACCGUAGCUAAUACCGGAUAAUGUUUUGAACCGCAUGGUUCAAAAGUGAAAGACGGUCUUGCUGUCACUUAUAGAUGGAUCCGCGCUGCAUUAGCUAGUUGGUAAGGUAACGGCUUACCAAGGCAACGAUGCAUAGCCGACCUGAGAGGGUGAUCGGCCACACUGGAACUGAGACACGGUCCAGACUCCUACGGGAGGCAGCAGUAGGGAAUCUUCCGCAAAGGGCGAAAGCCUGACGGAGCAACGCCGCGUGAGUGAUGAAGGUCUUCGGAUCGUAAAACUCUGUUAUUAGGGAAGAACAUAUGUGUAAGUAACUGUGCACAUCUUGACGGUACCUAAUCAGAAAGCCACGGCUAACUACGUG
rnacentral:rRNA from 1 species